rfam:Ictidomys tridecemlineatus contig095417, whole genome shotgun sequence.
GGGCUUGUGGCUCGGUGGUAGAGCUCUUGCCUAGUGUGUAUGAAGCCCUGGGUUCAAUUCUCAGCGCCA